CCUACGGGAGGCAGCAGUGAGGAAUAUUGGUCAAUGGACGGAAGUCUGAACCAGCCAAGUCGCGUGAAGGAUGACGGCCCUACGGGUUGUAAACUUCUUUUGUCAGGGAGCAAUUGGGUCCACGCGUGGGCUUAGCGAGAGUACCUGAAGAAAAAGCAUCGGCUAACUCCGUGCCAGCAGCCGCGGUAAUACGGAGGAUCCAAGCGUUAUCCGGAUUUAUUGGGUUUAAAGGGUGCGUAGGCGGAUUGAUAAGUUAGAGGUGAAAUGUCCGAGCUUAACUCGGGAACUGCCUCUAAUACUGUUGAUCUAGAGAGUAGAUGCGGUAGGCGGAAUGUAUGGUGUAGCGGUGAAAUGCUUAGAGAUCAUACAGAACACCGAUUGCGAAGGCAGCUUACCAAUCUAUAUCUGACGUUGAGGCACGAAAGCGUGGGUAGCAAACAGGAUUAGAUACCCCGGUAGUC
rnacentral:rRNA from 1 species